rnacentral:tRNA from 1 species
UAGGAUGUAGCUAAAUGGUGAAGUGCUUGUCUAGUGUGCAUUAAAUGGCUCUGGGUUCAAUCCCCAGCACCUUAA